UACAGAGGGUGCAAGCGUUAAUCGGAAUGACUGGGCGUAAAGCGCACGUAGGCGGUUAUAAAAGUUGGAUGUGAAAUACUCGGGCUUAACCUGAGAAGUGCAUCCAAAACUGGAUAACUAGAGUAUGGUAGAGGGAAGUGGAAUUUCCGGAGUAGCGGUGAAAUGCGUAGAUAUCGGAAGGAACAUCAGUGGCGAAGGCGACUUCCUGGACCAAAACUGACGCUGAAGAGCGAAGGCGUGGGGAGCAAACAGGAUUAGAUACCCCCGUA
rnacentral:rRNA from 1 species